GACGAACGCUGGCGGCGUGCUUAACACAUGCAAGUCGAGGGGGAGUAGGGGCAACUCUACUUCACCGGCGAACGGGUGCGUAACACGUGAGCGACCUACCCUGGUGUGGGGGAUAGCCGGCCCAACGGCCGGGUAAUACCGCAUACGCUCUGUGAGGGGCAUCCCUUGGAGAGCAAAGCUGUGGGGCAACUCACGGCGCAUUGGGAGGGGCUCGCGGCCUAUCAGCUAGUUGGCGAGGUAACGGCUCACCAAGGCGACGACGGGUAGCUGGUCUGAGAGGAUGGCCAGCCACAUUGGGACUGAGAGACGGCCCAGACUCCUACGGGAGGCAGCAGUGGGGAAUCUUGCGCAACGGGCGAAAGCCUGACGCAGCGACGCCGCGUGCGGGA
rnacentral:rRNA from 1 species